GAUGAACGCUGGCGGCGUGCCUAAUACAUGCAAGUCGAGCGAACAGACGAGGAGCUUGCUCCUCUGACGUUAGCGGCGGACGGGUGAGUAACACGUGGAUAACCUACCUAUAAGACUGGGAUAACUUCGGGAAACCGGAGCUAAUACCGGAUAAUAUAUUGAACCGCAUGGUUCAAUAGUGAAAGACGGUUUUGCUGUCACUUAUAGAUGGAUCCGCGCCGCAUUAGCUAGUUGGUAUGGUAACGGCUUACCAAGGCAACGAUGCGUAGCCGACCUGAGAGGGUGAUCGGCCACACGGGAACUGAGACACGGUCCAGACUCCUACGGGAGGCAGCAGUAGGGAAUCUUCCGCAAUGGGCGAAAGCCUGACGAAGCAACGCCGCGUGAGUGAUGAAGGUCUUCGGAUCGUAAAACUCUGUUAUUAGGGAAGAACAAAUGUGUAAGUAACUAUGCACGUCUUGACGGUACCUAAUCAGAAAGCCACGGCUAACUACGUG
rnacentral:rRNA from 1 species